rnacentral:rRNA from 1 species
UACGUAGGGGGCAAGCGUUGUCCGGAAUCAUUGGGCGUAAAGCGCGCGUAGGCGGUUCGAUAAGUCUGCUGUGAAAGUCCAGGGCUCAACCCUGGGAUGCCGGUGGAUACUGUCGGGCUCGAGUCCGGAAGAGGCGAGUGGAAUUCCUGGUGUAGCGGUGGAAUGCGCAGAUAUCAGGAGGAACACCAAUAGCGAAGGCAGCUCGCUGGGACGUUACUGACACUGAGGCGCGAAAGCGUGGGGAGCGAACAGG